rfam:Arthrobotrys oligospora ATCC 24927 unplaced genomic scaffold scaffold00097, whole genome shotgun sequence.
GCCCGGUUAGCUCAAUCGGUAGAGCGUCAGACUCUUAAUCUGAAGGCUGCGGGUUCGACCCCCGCAUCGGGCU